AUUGAACGCUGGCGGCAGGCUUAACACAUGCAAGUCGAGCGGGGGAAGGUAGCUUGCUACCGGACCUAGCGGCGGACGGGUGAGUAAUGCUUAGGAAUCUGCCUAUUAGUGGGGGACAACAUCUCGAAAGGGAUGCUAAUACCGCAUACGUCCUACGGGAGAAAGCAGGGGAUCUUUGGACCUUGCGCUAAAUGAUGAGCCUAAGUCGGAUUAGCUAGUUGGUGGGGUAAAGGCCUACCAAGGCGACGAUCUGUAGCGGGUCUGAGAGGAUGAUCCGCCACACUGGGACUGAGACACGGCCCAGACUCCUACGGGAGGCAGCAGUGGGGAAUAUUGGACAAUGGGCGGAAACCUGAUCCAGCCAUGCCGCGUGUGUGAAGAAGGCCUUAUGGUUGUAAAGCACUUUAAGCGAGGAGGAGGCUACUUAGAUUAAUACUCUAGGAUAGUGGACGUUACUCGCAGAAUAAGCACCGGCUAACUCUGUGCCAGCCGCCGCAGUAA
rnacentral:rRNA from 1 species